rnacentral:rRNA from 1 species
AUUGAACGCUGGCGGCAGGCCUAACACGUGCAAGUCGAACGGUAACAGAAAGCAGCUUGCUGCUUUGCUGACGAGUGGCGGACGGGUGAGUAAUGUCUGGGAAACUGCCUGAUGGAGGGGGAUAACUACUGGAAACGGUAGCUAAUACCGCAUAACGUCGCAAGACCAAAGAGGGGGACCUUCGGGCCUCUUGCCAUCGGAUGUGCCCAGAUGGGAUUAGCUAGUAGGUGGGGUAACGGCUCACCUAGGCGACGAUCCCUAGCUGGUCUGAGAGGAUGACCAGCCACACUGGAACUGAGACACGGUCCAGACUCCUACGGGAGGCAGCAGUGGGGAAUAUUGCACAAUGGGCGCAAGACUGAUGCAGCCAUGCCGAGUGUAUGAAGAAGGCCUUCGGGUUGUAAAGUACUUUCAGCGGGGAGGAAGGGAGUAAAGUUAAUACCUUUGCUCAUUGACGUUACCCGCAGAAGAAGCACCGGCUAACUCCGUG